GUUGAAAACAUUAUGUUGACGUACAGAUCUUGUAAAAAAUUCAACGUUGAUUUAGAAGUGUUUCUGCCUUUUAACGUAUUAUGAUAAUUAAUUAGCAUUUAAUGAUUUUUUGAUCAUAACAGCUCUUCAAUGUAUAUGUUAAAAUAUAAUUAUUAUCAUUAUUAACAAUAAUAGUUUCACCCUCAAGAGAGCAGUGCAGCAGAAACCUUUUGCCUUGUGUGAUUUUGUGUGAAUUUACAAUUUUGUCUGCUUGCCUAACAGUUUACAUUGCAUUAUUACAUUUGUAUUCAUACACUGUCAUGUCAUUUGACCAAUUAAUUAAAUAAUAAUACAGACUGCAAAUAAAACUUAAUACACCGCUAUGUUAACUCGCGCAAACUAUUGCUAUUGUUAUUGGUUGUUUCGCCGUUUACUUUGAGCAUAAAUUUGAAAAUAUGUCCGUUACUUUCGGUCGGAGCAGCUGCUUUGCGUUGAUUACUCGGUCAGACCUGGAUUAUUUUAUAUCUGCCUGUUGAAUUCUUACAUUUUGAGCGAAUUUUAGUUGAUAUGACAAUGAAGAUCAAAAGCUGGAAUGUGAACAGAGGAAGGGGUCGUACGUGGUCUGUAAAUACUGGCGAUAUCAGAUCAAGCAUUGGAAUAAGAUUUUUAUCGGGGGAGAACACCCAACAGAAAGACCCAUGAUUCACCAACUGGCGCACUGAAAGGGGAGAUUCAUGUCACCUUCAUCAGUCCUUUCUUUAAUCACUGGACACCAUUAAGGGAAAGACCCUCAGACGUGUCAUAAUAGGAUAAAUGCGGCUGCAGGUAAAAUUAUUUGAUGGGGUUAGGGUUAUUUGAUUUUGGUGUACCAAUUGGCUUUUUUUUGUGUGCUUCCCUUGCUAUGAUACACAUUUCUGAUGGGAUUGCCAUGCUUUAAGUGUAUGUUUACAUUUUUAAUCAUGUAAUAACUAACAGUCUCAAAGAUGACAUUACUCAGUUCAUGUUGUGUGAAUGUUAUAAUGGCAAACGUUUUUACAAUUUAAAUCAAUUUCAUAUAAAUAAUAUAUAUAUUUAUACUGUUUCCUCACAAUGUCAAAAAGUGCUUUGUUAAGUGACGGCUAGUUCUUUUUUUUAAACUAUUUUACAAUUUUACGUUAUGUAUUAACCUUAUAAAAGUCUGUCUAGCUUUAGCAAAUGUAACAUUAUGCCGGUCCUAAUAAAGUUAAAACGUUAUUAACGUUAGCCCUGAAUGUGAAACAUGCAUCAGCCAUCAUAACAUUAACGUUAAAUACCUGUGGUUGACUAACAUUAAUUUAAUAACGUUAGCUGUUAACUUAACGUUACAUCUUACAAGUUACUGUUGCCUCUUGCAAACACGUAACAGUUAAGUUAAUGUUAAAAAAAAGACUGUUGCAGGUUGGGACCUUGUUUUAUACAGUCUAUGGUUUAACUUAGUUAACGUAAUGUUAAGUUAGGACCUGACAAAGACUUGUCUCAGUGGCAGCUCGUUUUUAACUUAACGUUAGCAGUAGCACAUUCAGUCAGUUAACAUUAACGUUAGCUUGAUACGAAUACUAUUAAUCUAGGAAAACGUUAUAACGCUACGUUGCUCCUACCGUUAAAGUAACGUUAAAUUACUGGUAACGUAAAUACUUUACCUGUAACCUGCACAUAACAUAACGUUACCUCCUAGUUAUACACAUGCCUGGAUUUUAACUUUCUCAGCUGACUAAGUUUGUUCUCCUUUAUAGUGAACCAGACUCAUCGUGAGUGAAAAUAACGAUUUAACAUGAACUUUCAUGUCCUCCUUAUCCAUAGUUUUUGACAGAUUGGACUAGUUAACUUACUUCAACAACUUCUGGGUGAGUGUUUGACAAGUAAGUCGCUUUUUUUUUUUUUUUUUUUUUUCAUGCAUAGUCAGGUGUUCAAUGCAUUUUCUACUGGUUGAGAGAGGAAUUACUGCAGUAAACUGACCUAGAAUGGUCUACCUUACUGUCAUUAGUGAAUAUUGUAGAUAGGGCUGGACUAGAAUAUUCAAAUAUUCGUUCAGUGUGUUACGGUCCCUGGUCUAGGUCAGGGAAGUAACAAACAACGCAACACUGCUUCUCAAUUAAGUCUUUUAUUAGACUGUUCUUGCUCUCUUGAUUGUUUCCAAAAUAUUGCAUUUUAGAUUUGACAAAGUAUCCUGAGUAAAUCAGAAAAAUUGGACAAAGAGGAAAAAGGGAAAAAAAUUUAAGCAAAAUCUUCAGGGGUGAGCUAAUGCCAAAAUAACAAACAAAAAAAGAAACUAACUUUCCCACAAGAACUAACUUCCCUAGGAACCACAAAUAAAGAAACAAAAUAUACAAU
rnacentral:lncRNA from 1 species